rnacentral:rRNA from 1 species
GUGGGGAAUAUUGGACAAUGGGGGGAACCCUGAUCCAGCCAUGCCGCGUGUGUGAAGAAGGCCUUUUGGUUGUAAAGCACUUUAAGCGAGGAGGAGGCUACCGAGAUUAAUACUCUUGGAUAGUGGACGUUACUCGCAGAAUAAGCACCGGCUAACUCUGUGCCAGCAGCCGCGGUAAUACAGAGGGUGCGAGCGUUAAUCGGAUUUACUGGGCGUAAAGCGUGCGUAGGCGGCCUUUUAAGUCGGAUGUGAAAUCCCCGAGCUUAACUUGAGAAUUGCAUUCGAUACUGGGAAGCUAGAGUAUGGGAGAGGAUGGUAGAAUUCCAGGUGUAGCGGUGAAAUGCGUAGAGAUCUGGAGGAAUACCGAUGGCGAAGGCAGCCAUCUGGCCUAAUACUGACGCUGAGGUACGAAAGCAUGGGGAGCAAACAGGAUUAGAAACCCCUGUAGUCC